UGAGGAAUAUUGGUCAAUGGGCGCAAGCCUGAACCAGCCAUCCCGCGUGAAGGAUGAAUGCCUUAUGGGUUGUAAACUUCUUUUCUGCUAGAAGAAACCCCGGGUCGUGACCCGGGUUGCCGGUAUAGCAGGAAUAAGCAUCGGCUAACUCCGUGCCAGCAGCCGCGGUAAUACGGAGGAUGCAAGCGUUAUCCGGAUUUAUUGGGUUUAAAGGGUGCGCAGGUGGUUGAAUAAGUCAGUGGUGAAAGUCUGUCGCUUAACGGUAGGAUUGCCAUUGAUACUGUUUAACUUGAGUUUGGAUGAGGUAGGCGGAAUGAGUAGUGUAGCGGUGAAAUGCAUAGAUAUUACUCAGAACACCGAUUGCGAAGGCAGCUUACUAAUCCACAACUGACACUGAGGC
rnacentral:rRNA from 1 species